UGACCGUGUGAGGAAACUUGCCGA
rnacentral:siRNA from 1 species